CGCUGAUUGUUCAUCUUGUUCCAUUUUUUUUCUUCCAAGUAUGUGUGAUCAGAGUCUGCAAGAAAAAUAACGACGUAGAUUUUGUUGGCUCCGCAUGGAUCGCAGAAAACAUAGUAAGGUUUAAUUUAAAAUCGGUAGCCUCGUAAAAACUCUAAAUCCGAAAUAAGCGCCUAGACCACUUCCUGCGGUUCGGAAAAUACAGAGAUCGCCGUGGUGUACGAAAGAUGAACUGUCGCCAAUCCGGGUUCGGAACAACAAAUUCUGAUUCCACCCCAGCCUAAAGAGAUUGAUCUGGUGCUAAGUACAGCACCACCGUGAUGUCUACACGCUAACUUUUGGCUACCCCUUAAAGGCGUAAAAUUGACCCGUUAUUGAGAACCCCCAUGAUCUGUCAAAUAACGGGUCAUUAUAUCGGAUCAAUAUUACCCCUUUUUUUAAAAGGCUCGAUUCCCUUCAAAAAGGGCAGUUUUAGAUGCGUUACAUUAAAAGCGUUGAAUUCGGCAUGAUGAGAGAUGUUGUGGUAAGUUUUAAUUGUAACAAUUUGAAUUGUAUUCUUUCCGAAUUUAUAUUCAUUCAUUUUAUUUCAGCAGCACAGCAAAGUUCCGGACGAGCCAGGCAGACACAAAUAGAAUUUAACAUGAAGACACGCACCGAGGCGAUCUAAAAUUGAAGGUAAGAUUGAUGGUUAAUGUUUUCUUAGCUUAAAAUCUAAUCUUUUCUUUUCUUUCAGGAUGCAUCGUAAGAUAAUUAUAAUUUUAUUUAAGUGAAUCCAAAUUUGAAAAAAAAUUGGCAUCUCAAUAAACUAAAUGAAAUAAAACAUGUUGUUUUUAUUUAUUUUCCAGGGGACACAUUCUCUAUAAAUAGAACCUUUAAUUUCCACCAUACGGAAGCUUUUGGAAUAAGGGGUAAUUUUCAUCCGCUGCGUUUGAAAUAAGGGGUAAAUUUUAUCCGGUGCAAGCGUUAUCAAGCUGAGUACCCCUUAAAGGGUACAGCGGCUGUAUCCUUUAAAAGGAGUUCUCCCAGUCUCAUCGAAUAACGGGUCAAAAGUAUUCGUUAAGGGGUAGCCAAAAGUUAGCGUGUAGGACGGCAACAGCUGCAGUGGCCACCAGCAACACGGUUUAGUAUGCUAUGCUGAUUUCCACUCGGCACCAAGUGUAGCUACGCAACAUUUGCGGCAGGCAACUCUUCGUCGCCGCUCUCCGCUGAGCAGUCACAGUAUGUAUUUCAAUUUCAAACGAUUGGCUCGUACCAACCGAGCUCUGUGCACCAUCCUACUACGUAUGGGUCGAACAACAGCUUCAGUGAUCCGGUUGCACCUUCCAACAGGCUCCGGCUGUGCGACAACGGGCCACCGCCUUAAAAAACACCAUGGAAAUGCCAGGAGAUAACUUUAGCAGCAUAGGUUCUCUGGAUGUGCAGUUUGGCAAUUAGUACUUUGGUACGGAAGAUGCUUUGGAUAGUGGAUAGGCGAACGGAAGGGCGCUGUAGCGUAUGAAUAUUCAAGCUUAUCCAGUUGGUCGUAUCCAUUAUGGUCCUGCGCUCAAUGUACCCAAUUUUAUUUGAGAGAAUUAAAGGACACGUUGAUCUGACCUCUUUUUACCAAGAUGUAUAUGCGGCUGGUCUGGUGCUACCGAAAACAGUUGCUGUGUAUCGGUACUACAAUCGAGAUCAACAAAACGAUGCAAAGAAUGAUAAAAAUGUACCAACUGCCGGAAGCUUAUGCCCAAUUAUUUCGUUGAUAAUAGAGGACCGCCGCUGUAUGUUUCCUACCACGCUGGCCAACUUUAUGGGAAACAUGUAUAAGCUGCAUCUUGAACUGCACAUUUUUUUGAAAAUUCGCCUGUCUUAACUGGAAACUACUAAAGCUGUGUAGCCUCUGUGUCGUCAUCCCGACAUCAUCGGUGCAGAUUUUUAGUGAAUAAUAGAGAAAAAGGUCUUCUUAUCUCAAUUAAAUUUUCAGCAUGUAAUUAAAUGCUGUAGAAGAGAUACAUGCUGCUGUUAAGGAUGUCAGAUUUUGUGUUAUAUUCCAAGUAGUGUUUUUUAUUAGAGCUUAGGUAUCAGAAGCUGAAUCUUAGCAGUUAGUCAUAGGUAAAAAGUAUAACAAUCACGAGUGCUUAUAUUGGUUAAAGAAAGGAAGAUCUAUACAAAAACAAAGAUUGUAAUUGAAUAAUAAAUUUAG